rnacentral:rRNA from 1 species
GACGAACGCUGGCGGCGUGCUUAACACAUGCAAGUCGAACGGAAAGGCCCUGCUUUUGUGGGGGGCUCGAGUGGCGAACGGGUGAGUAACACGUGAGUAACCUGCCCUUGACUUUGGGAUAACUUCAGGAAACUGGGGCUAAUACCGGAUAGGAGCUCCUGCUGCAUGGUGGGGGUUGGAAAGUUUCGGCGGUUGGGGAUGGACUCGCGGCUUAUCAGCUUGUUGGUGGGGUAGUGGCUUACCAAGGCUUUGACGGGUAGCCGGCCUGAGAGGGUGACCGGCCACAUUGGGACGGAGAUACGGCCCAGACUCCUACGGGAGGCAGCAGUGGGGAAUAUUGCACAAUGGGCGGAAGCCUGAUGCAGCAACGCCGCGUGCGGGAUGACGGCCUUCGGGUUGUAAACCGCUUUCGCCUGUGACGAAGCGUGAGUGACGGUAAUGGGUAAAGAAGCACCGGCUAACUACGUG